rnacentral:rRNA from 1 species
UACGUAGGGGGCAAGCGUUGUCCGGAUUUAUUGGGCGUAAAGAGCGUGUAGGCGGCCAGGUAGGUCUGCUGUGAAAACUCGAGGCUUAACCUCGAGAUGUCGGCGGAAACCAUCUGGCUAGAGUCCGGAAGAGGAGAAUGGAAUUCCCGGUGUAGCGGUGAAAUGCGCAGAUAUCGGGAAGAACACCCGUAGCGAAGGCGGUUCUCUGGGACGGUACUGACGCUGAGACGCGAAAGCGUGGGGAGCGAACAGG